rnacentral:rRNA from 1 species
GACGAACGCUGGCGGCGUGCCUAAUACAUGCAAGUCGAACGCAUUUUCUUUCACCGUAGCUUGCUACACCGAAAGAAAAUGAGUGGCGAACGGGUGAGUAACACGUGGGUAACCUGCCCAUCAGCGGGGGAUAACACUUGGAAACAGGUGCUAAUACCGCAUAAUUCCAUUUACCGCAUGGUAAAUGGAUGAAAGGCGCUUUUGCGUCACUGAUGGAUGGACCCGCGGUGCAUUAGCUAGUUGGUGGGGUAACGGCCUACCAAGGCUGCGAUGCAUAGCCGACCUGAGAGGGUGAUCGGCCACACUGGGACUGAGACACGGCCCAGACUCCUACGGGAGGCAGCAGUAGGGAAUCUUCGGCAAUGGACGCAAGUCUGACCGAGCAACGCCGCGUGAGUGGAGAAGGUUUUCGGAUUGUAAAACUCUGUUGUUAGAGAAGAACAAGGAUGAGAGUGGAAAGUUCAUCCCUUGACGGUAUCUAACCAGAAAGCCACGGCUAACUACGUG